UACGUAGGGUCCGAGCGUUGUCCGGAAUUACUGGGCGUAAAGAGCUCGUAGGUGGUUUGUCGCGUUGUUCGUGAAAACUCACAGCUCAACUGUGGGCGUGCGGGCGAUACGGGCAGACUAGAGUACUGCAGGGGAGACUGGAAUUCCUGGUGUAGCGGUGGAAUGCGCAGAUAUCAGGAGGAACACCGAUGGCGAAGGCAGAUCUCUGGGCCGUAAC
rnacentral:rRNA from 1 species